rnacentral:misc_RNA from 1 species
GAUGAAGAACGUAGCGAAAUGCGAUAAGUAGUGUGAAUUGCAGAAUUCAGUGAAUCAUCGAAUCUUUGAACGCACAUUGCGCCUCCUGGUAUUCCGGGAGGCAUGCCUGUUCGAGCGUCAUUAAAAUCACUCAAGCUUAGGUUUACCUAUUGCUUGGUCUUGGAGAUGGAAGCCAAUUUAUUGGAAUCCUCUUCGAAAUUCAAUGGCGAAGACCCUUGCUCUCCCAAGUGUAGUAAUAACUUAUGUCACUGAAGGAAGCGAGAAAUCUUCUGCCGUAACCCCCAUAUUUUCUAUGAUUGACCUCGGAUCAGGUAGGGAUACCCGCUGAACUUAAGCAUAUCAUAAGCGGAGG